GAUGAACGCUGGCGGCGUGCCUAAUACAUGCAAGUCGAGCGAAUGGAUUGAGAGCUUGCUCUUAUGAAGUUAGCGGCGGACGGGUGAGUAACACGUGGGUAACCUGCCCAUAAGACUGGGAUAACUCCGGGAAACCGAGGCUAAUACCGGAUAACAUUUUGAACCGCAUGGUUCGAAAUUGAAAGGCGGCUUCGGCUGUCACUUAUGGAUGGACCCGCGUCGACAUUAGCUAGUUGGUGAGGUAACGGCUCACCAAGGCAACGAUGCGUAGCCGACCGGAGAGGGUGAUCGGCCACACUGGGACAGAGACACGGCCCAGACUCCUACGGGAGGCAGCAGUAGGGAAUCUUCCGCAAUGGACGAAAGUCUGACGGAGCAACGCCGCGUGAGUGAUGAAGGCUUUCGGGUCGUAAAACUCUGUUGUUAGGGAAGAACAAGUGCUAGUUGAAUAAGCUGGCACCUUGACGGUACCUAACCAGAAAGCCACGGCUAACUACGUGCCAGCAGCCGCCGUAA
rnacentral:rRNA from 1 species